rnacentral:rRNA from 1 species
AACGAACGCUGGCGGCGUGCCUAACACAUGCAAGUCGAACGAGAAAGGGGCUUCGGUCCUGAGUAAAGUGGCGCACGGGUGAGUAACACGUAGGUAACCUGCCUCUAAGAUUGGGAUAACCUGUCGAAAGACGAGCUAAUACCGAAUAAGACCACGGCUCCCUCGGGAGCAGGGGUCAAAGGUAGCCUCUACUUGUAAGCUAUCACUUAGAGAUGGGGCUGCGCACCAUUAGCAAGUUGGUGGGGUAACGGCCUACCAAGGCAAAGAUGGUUAGCUGGUCUGAGAGGAUGAUCAGCCACACUGGAACUGAGACACGGUCCAGACUCCUACGGGAGGCAGCAGUGGGGAAUAUUGCGCAAUGGGCGAAAGCUUGACGCAGCAACGCCGCGUGAGUGAUGAAGGCCUUCGGGUCGUAAAGCUCUGUCGGAGGGAACGAAUGCUCGCGGGGUUAACAGCCCCGGGAAGUGACGGUACCCUCAAAGGAAGCACCGGCUAACUCUGUGCCAGCCGCCGCGGUAACAC